rnacentral:lncRNA from 1 species
GGAAGCAUCCAACCAUUUGGUAUUUGUCGAAGAAGAACAUAUGUGACAAGAUGACUUUCCUGUUGAAGGAAGCUGGUUGUGAGCUGACAUAUAUCAUUUCCCAUCCUGUGAUUCUUGCAUACAGCUUGGAGAAGAGGUUGAAACCUCGAUAUGCAAUUCUGAAUUUUCUUGAGCAGAAUAAAUUGCUGGAUAAAGUAUAUAGCCUGAUGUCCGUGAUAAUGCUAUCGGAAAAGAAGUUCCAAAAUAAAUUUCUUUUCCUGCUUCGCGAGGAGAAAUCUAUUGCUCUAUAUGAUUCCUAUUUGAAAUCUGUUGCUCAAUAGGAUUCCUAUGUUGCUGCUGGGCAUGGAAAGCACCAUGUUGUUUGGGAAAAUUAGGAUUGCAUGUGCUUCCUCAGACAAAGUGUCAACUUAUUGCACACUUAUUUAAUCAUGUUAAAUUUGUGACAAUUUAAAUUCUCCAAGGAGCUUCUUUUCUUUUAUUCUUUGGUACAACAAAAGAUACGGAUUCUUUUAUGCAGAAAUAUAGUGAACCAACGGGGAGAAGUCUUACUUAAGAAAGAUAUAAAGGUAACUAAAAUGUUUCAACUCUGUCAGCUAUCUGUGUCAACUUGGCAUCAGUCGUAUUAAUUUAGAUGAUUAAGAACUUGUUAAUUAUGUGAGUAUGAAUAGGGACUAAUAUAUGAUAGUAAAGAGUUAAUUGUGUGAGGGCUUUCUUUGUCAGAAUCCCAUCACCUCUCCACCGGCUCUAAAUUACAUCUCUAUUUAUAUGGAAUGAAACCUCUAUUGUUACAUGUUGUUAAUCAUGCACUAAUAUAUGAUAGUUAAGUGUGAUUUAUUGAAGAUAUCGAUUUACUAUAUACUAUUGUUGAAAAAUGAACCCACGAGAGUAAUACCUUUCGAUUUAUUGUUGGAGCGCACUAACGAAUAUUCAGUUAUGCAAAGAUGAUUAUUAUAAUAUGAUGAUUGAAUUUUGUGUAUACUAUGGUACAUUAGUGCAUGUGGCAAUUAUGAGAUUUAUUAGAUAGUAUCAACAUGCACUAUUGUAAGAGGCCCCGUGAGAUCAACGUGCACUAUUGUGAGAUUUAUUAUAUAGUAUCAACUGUCACCUCUCUCUCCCUCUCUCUCUCUCUUUCUCAGCCCGUGACUGCAUGCAUGCAUCCCAAUAUUCGUUCUAGUCAUCGUUCUAGUCAUAUCCAGACAUACUCACACAUUAAGAAUUUAAGAGUCAUCGGUUCAUCUCAAGCUUGCUUCUUAAUGUUCAAUUUAAUGCACUAAGCAAUAGAUAUGGUUUAAGGUAACAACACUCUCUCGAGUGAAGUGAACGGGUCUCGGCGCCCCCCUGAUUCAAAUCAGAGAGGACUAUAUUGGAUCUGAGCACAACAUAAGUCACUGGAUCUGGUUCGAUGGAACCAAAUGAAGGACUCUCCUCUCUCACACACAACUAUAUCAAUGGCCACGCGUCCAAUGAGAAGACUCGUGGAAACCUAAUCAGCCACCGGCGGCACCGUCUUCCUCUCCAUCCGCGAAUGGCGGCGGCAGCAAUGUCUUCCUCAGCGGGCUCAUCGUUGGUAUCUUUCUCCUCCUCCUCCUCCUCCUCAUCCUUUGCCGUCGCCCACUCUGCCCCAACCGCCUCCCUCCAUCUUCCCGCCCCCACCUUCGCCGUAGCCCCCCCGCGACCGGCGUCUGCCCCUGCCUCUUCCUUUCCCCUCGUCGUAGCCGUCUUACCCCUUCCUUCCUGCGCCGGCGUUUUCCCUUCUCCUCCCUACGUCGGCGUCUUCUUUCAUUGUAUCAUCCUUUCACCCCCGCAGCGUCUUCUCCCCCCUUCGCUUCGCUGCAGCCGCUUGAUAAGACCCUAAGGUUUUAUCAGGGAAAAAAUUGGGAGAAAAGGGGACGAUCACUUCGAGAUGAUCGGCCUCCUUGAUCACUUCGAGGGGAUCGUCGACGGGAACUUGUCUUCGUGCCCGGCACCCAGUGUGCAGCUGUUUGUUCAACAUUCUAAAGUUUUUGUUUUUCUCAUUUAUCUCUUUUCUCUUAUGCACGCAAAGUGUUCGCUGAAUGGCUUUUAAAGCUUUUCUUUUUGUGGGACGUCGGGACUUGUCCGUUGUUUAUUCUUCGAACUAAUCAACUUUUUCUUAUGCACGCAAGGUGUUCGCUGACCUUUGCGGACACAUAUCACAAGGGCACGUCAUGACUUUGGCAAUCCCAAUUAAGUCCAAGAAGUUGACGCAACGGCGCUUUGCGACUUAGGCAACUCAAGCCAAAUUUGUGUCUUGGCCGCAAGGGUGCCUCACGACUUAGGCAAUUCCAGUUAAGUCCGUGACAAGGCGACGGUGAAGAAGGAGGCAACGAGGGUCACGGUUGGGAUGUGUUGGCCGGGAGCAGUGGCGGUGGCGGUUGCUGGCCGAAGAUGCAAGGCUGACCCUGUUUUGGUCGCCGCGAGGAGGAGAGGUCGAGCGGCUGCGGUUGCGAUUGCGACCCAAGGGGGGGCGGGCGACGGUGGAGAAGGAGGCAGCGAGGUUCACGACUGGGAGGUGGGCGACGGUCAUCGUUGGCCGGGAACUUGCUGUGGUGGAGAGGGGAAAGAGGGAUGCUCUGUUUCUAUCGCACCACAGCAGGAGCCACUGGCGAUGUCGAAGGAUCGCGAGCGGUUGAGGAGAAGGCUGGCAACGGUGGUGGCUCGGGUGGGAGGUGACGGGCGACGGUGGACUCUGGCCGGGGAGCGGGGCUGUGGUGGGAUGGGACAUUGGCAGCGUCGUCUCCUGGCAGCGGUGGUGGCUUGGGUGGGAGGCAACAGGCGAUGGUGGACUCCGGCCGGGAAGCAGGGCGGUGGUGGUAGCGGCGGUGGGGUUGGUUGGAAGUAGGGAAAGUAUGAGCCCUUUCCACCAGCGACAGUGGUGGAGGAGAGGGGAAGCAGGGGUUCUCGGUUGUGCGUGGCUGCGCCCCCUUUUUUUUUUUUUAUGAUAACUACAACGAGGACUCCGAGGAUCGCUGCUCUGAUACCAAAUGAUAAGACCCUAGGGUUUUAUUAUGGAAAAAAAGGGAGAAAAGGGGAUGAUCACUUCGAGGGGAUCGACCUCCUAGGGUUUGUCAAAAGACUUAAUAAUAUUUCAUUGUCUCCGAAAAGAAACGAUUACAUCAUUAUUUAUAGAGUUCCACUUAGAAUCCAUCACGACUUGGACUCUUAAUAAUAAAUAAAUAUUAAAUAAAUUUCUAUCCGAUUCUAACUGAAUUAAACAUACUCAAUAAACAUUAUUCAAAAGUUUAGAAAAUAAAAAGGAUCCUAACAUCGCCCCAGCAACCCAACCGACAUUGACAACCAUUCUAACCCGUACCUCCUCCUCCUCCUCGGAUCCUUCAUCCUUGACCCCCUCCCAACUGACAACAACCCCCUCUUCAUCCUCCUCCUUCUAUGUAAAUUGUUUUAUUAAUAUAGAUUUGAACAAGUAUUAUUUGGUCCUUUAAAUGAUUACCAUGUUUCUUUUUUUGUUUUAGCGAUUAUAUCUAUUAAUCAUGAUAUAUACUUUUAAAAUUUUAAGAAGCAUCUCUCUUCACUUGGGCCAGCGCCUAGCCAAGCACCUAGCAUCUCAGGCGUUUUGACACUUUGGCGUCGUUUAGUGUCUCUCACCCGCGACCACACUGCUAUAGCACAACUUGGUUCACUUGUUUGGUUCCAUUUAAUUAUUCAGACCCAUGCAUGUUGCCACACUUGGUUGAUGUUAGUUUUCAUGCUUGGUCCUUUAUGUGCAUGUUUGAAUUCAUCUGAACCAAAUUGAGCACAUCACAGCUCCACAAAAAAAUCAUUGGAUUUGAGCUGCAUUGGUUAUAUAUGUAUUCUAAAAAUGUUAUGAGAUUCAAGUGAGAUUGUCUUGAUUCAAUUUUAACCUAAACAUGUUUCAGCUGCAUUCCCUCGCAACAAGUUCUAUGCAUAAACUAACCUGUCCAUGAGUCCCUCAUGCAUAAUGUCUGCCUGCAUAUACAUGUUUGAUUGCAUGCCAUUAUCUUAUUGUAUCAAUCUUUUGAUCCUAUUAUUAUUUUUUUUGUUGCUUACCACAUAAGUCGGUUGGUUCUAAAAUGGUUAUGAAUGGCAAAGAAGUUUGUAAUAUGACUUUUGUUUAUCGUUACCUAUUUGUUGCUCAGACAUAAUAAUAUAUGUGCAAUUUAGUUAUCAGAUAGAACCACACACAUGGGAACAUUGCACAUAUUUCUUGUCUGUUUUUGGCUCUUGUGGUAACUUCAUCACAUAAGUGCUGAUUCCGGUGUCUUGCAUUGAACCACAGUAAUGAAUUGCUGGACCUCCUUUCGCAUGUAUUUACUAAUUAUGCAUACAGAAUGCAUUUAUAUAUUUGAUUUUGUGGCUAACGGAUUGUCUAUAUUAAUGGGAUUUGGAGAGGGCAGUUAGGUACUAGAAGCUAUUAGGAGCUGUCACUGUAUCUUCAUGCUAUCCUCUUCACAUCGAAGCUCUCAUUUUUCUUUUUUGUUGUUGUACAUGCCUCUGGAUCGUUCAUCAAUCAAUGUGAUUUUGUAUUUUGCUGUGCUUAGAUUUUAUUUUUCAUUUUUUUCUUCUUUUCAUUUCUUUGCUAUGAGAUGGUAGAUUUGUGCCUUGGCGGUCAUUAUAAACUGUGGUUUCAUUUUACAUUUUGAAACAUUAGUCAUUUUGGCAUCCAAAAUAAUUUUAUGUGACAUUUCAAAUUUCCUAUGACAUCAAUUACUUUGUUUUGUUCUUGAACAUUGGUACAGUGACAUGGUAUAAGUGAUCUUUUAUACAUGCUCAUUUGGUGAUCAUUGUAACUCGUAAAGGAGGUCAUGAAAAUAAUUUUGACUAAUAUUAGUUUAAAUUUACUUUACUUGAUUGUGGCCCAGAUAAUGUAAUCAAAUGUGGUGCUCGGCAUUUGAAAAUUUUCUUAUUAUACAAUAUCUCCAAUGAUGCGUAUUUAGUGACAACUGAAUUAAUUUCUGGCUCUUGGAUAUGAGCUGGUUCAGAACUGACCUUAGAUGGUGAAUUUUUCAAUCUCAGAUGUUCAAUGUUCUGAAAAUGCAUGCAUGUCAUUUACGAGCAUUUACUUUGGAGAAACAGCAAGCAACAACAUGCAAGUUAAAUACUGUUUAUUAAGAUGGACAGCAGGAGAAGUGCUGCUUUUAGAGAUAGAAAAGAGAAUUGGAAAGUUUUUUGACAAAAAAAAAGCUUGGAAAAGAUUGAACAAGAGAUAGCAGAGACUGUAAUUGUGUUACUGGCCAAAGAAAAUUAUAUUCAUUUGUCAAUAGAAUCAUGCAUACGUCUGGUGAUUCCUCAUGUGAAGGAUUUUAUUUAUAAAUAUAUCUGAGAUAGUACUAAUCUGAUUAGGUUUCCCAAAAGAAGCCCUCUAAACAGCAGCUGCUUGCUUUGAUAAAAGUGUUUGGUUCAUCAAACCUCUUAGUUUCCUUAUUAUGCCUACCACCACAAUUUCCUUUUCAAACACACCAAAACAUUUCAACAAUCAUCAAAACCCCAAAUGGUUCAAAGGACUUGACUCUCACUAAAAGUACAAGCUGAGCAAACAAUUAGAAUGUGACUUGAUUUCCAAACCCCAAAGUAGACCCAAAAUUUCAAUGUGUUUGGUUAGGUGUAACCUUACAUCUUUAUGUCGGCAUAGUGUGGUCUCCUCUGCAGGCUGAUAACAACUCUCUUGGCAACUUGAUACAUGUUUGUACCUCAAAAGAUAUUGGUGUUCUUAUAUUUGAAUUACCAUUCCUGUAUUUCUACUAGUAGCAAUAGAAAAAUAUUUGAAUUUUCUUAAUUCAACCACAGAUGUUUUCUUACACAGAAUUCAUUGAUGCAAAGGAUGCAUAUAGCGGAUAUGACUUUUAUUAUUGUUGUGCUUGUUUGCACUUGCUCGUUUUAUUGGCAAAUUCUCACAGAUCUAGGUUAUGUUGGUGAAACUUCUCAGUAAGAAAUAUUUCUUCCUUAUUAAUGACAUCAAGGUAUUUUUAAUACUGUAGCUGAAGCUAUUUGCACGAGCUGUCUUUCUCUAAAAUUAAGUUCCUUUAUCAACAUUGAACCAAAUAAACUAGUAGCCUUUCUUGAUCGAGGCACCUUUCUUACCUCUUGGUUCAUUUUAUGGAAAAUUUGUUGCCUUUCUCAGGUCUUUCAGCUAAGUUGCAAUUUUUUGUCUAGUUGUAUUAACAAUGUCUUUUCUACUUACCAGUCUUUCUAGUUGUAGUAGGAAUUAGUGAUCUCUGAAAGAAAUGGCUAAUGGAAACUGAAUGCAGGUGGGUUAACGUGAGUGGUAGACGAAUGUCCUCUGAUCAGAUGAUUAGUUGAAAGUUUUCAACUUCCUUUUGGUUGGAAGCAGAUACAGAAAAUAUAUUAGUUUGGGUGCCCUUGAUUCGAGGUAGAAGAGGAAGCUGAACAUAGAGCAGGCAGCAAUAAGACUACUUUUCUUGUAUUUUUCUGCAAACAGUACGUGAUACUGCUUCAAAAGAUCAUGUUUUUGGUGCAAAAGAGGCUCUUUCGCUGUCUCCCAAGUAACAAGUCCACUAUCCAUCUUUCCUCCCAUCAACUUUGCAAUCUGUUUAACUUCUCCACUGCUAAAGACCAAAGUUCAGAGCAUAGUUCCAACUUUAUAGUGGUCGACUCCCUUCAUUCAUGUGAACUUUCCUCAGAGAAGGCUGCAAAAAAAGCCAAGUAUCACACCUGUCACAAAAAUUCUUCGAGUCUUUCCAUUGAGUUCUUUAAGCAGAGCGGUUGGAGUGAUGCACAAGUCAUGAAACUUAUCCAGAGGUCACCGCUGUUGCUGCGUACUAAGGUAGAGACUGUCCUGAAGCCCAGAAUGAGAUCUUUGAAGGACAUGGGAUUUUCUGACACUGAAAUAGUUCAGCUGGUUUCUUCAUGUCCAUCUGUACUACUUAUACGUGAUAUCCAACCAAAGAUCAACUUCUGGAGGUCACUACUUUGUUCUAAUGAGAGGUUACUGAAAGCCUCUAGGAGGAACUUGUUUCUACUUACUUCUAGCUUGGCUCGGAAGAUAAAACCUAAUAUAUCUCUCUUAAGGGAAUGUGGCAUCAGUGACAAACUCAUCGCGAAUAUGGUGGUGACAGGGCCAGCCAUUUUGGGUCGAUCAAACAAAUGUAUGAAGGAAGCUAUCAAAUAUGUUGAGGAGUUGGGUGUGCCACGUAACUGUAGAAUGUUCCCUUAUGCACUUAAAAUAGUCGCUGGCAUGAGCCGAUCCAGGUUUGAUGCUACCUUUGCAACCCUGAUGAACUUUGGGUUCUCCCAGUCAGACAUCAUUGAUGUAUUCAGGAAGCAACCAACCGUUUGGGUUUUCUCAAAGAAGAACAUUUGUGACAAGAUGACUUUCCUGAUGAAGGAAGCUGGUUGUGAGCUGACAUAUAUCAUUUCCCAUCCUGCGAUUCUUAUAUACAGCUUGGAGAAGAGGUUGAAACCUCGAUAUGAAAUUCUGAAUUUUCUUGAGCAGAAUAAAUUGCUGGAUAAAGUAAAUGGCCUGAUAACCAUGAUAAUGCUAUCGGAAAAGAAGUUCCGAAAUAAAUUUCUUUUCCUGCUUCGCGAGGAGAAAUAUAUUGCUCUAUAUGAUUCCUAUGUUGCUGCUGUGCAUGGAAAGCGCCAUGUUGUUGUGGAAAAUUAGGAUUGCAAGUG